rnacentral:rRNA from 1 species
AUUGAACGCUGGCGGGAUGCCUUACACAUGCAAGUCGAACGGAGUGGCGAACGGGUGAGUAAUGUAUCGGAACGUGCCCAGUAGCGGGGGUUAACUACGCGAAAGCGUAGAUAAUACCGCAUACUAUUGGAGCGGCCGAUAUCGGGUUAGCUAGUUGGUGGGGUAACGGCUCACCAAGGUUACGAUCCGUAGCUGGUUUGCGAGGACGACCAGCAACACGGGGAAGGAGACACGGCCAGGACUCCUACGGUAGGCAGCAGUGGGGAAUUUUGGACAAUGGGGGAAACCCUGAUCCAGCCAUCCCGCGUGUGCGAUGAAGGCCUUCGGGUUGUAAAGCACUUUUGGCAGGAAAGCGGUACCUGCAGAAUAAGCACCGGCUAACUACGUGCCAGCAGCCGCGGUAAUUC